UAGCUCAAUGGUAGAGCUCGUCCUUUGCAUGUAUGAGGCCUGGGUUCAAUUCCCAG
rnacentral:tRNA from 1 species